rnacentral:rRNA from 1 species
AGUGAACGCUGGCGGUAGGCCUAACACAUGCAAGUCGAACGGCAGCACAGUAAGAGCUUGCUCUUACGGGUGGCGAGUGGCGGACGGGUGAGGAAUACAUCGGAAUCUACUUUUUCGUGGGGGAUAACGUAGGGAAACUUACGCUAAUACCGCAUACGACCUACGGGUGAAAGCAGGGGAUCUUCGGACCUCGCGCGAUUGAAUGAGCCGAUGUCGGAUUAGCUAGUUGGCGGGGUAAAGGCCCACCAAGGCGACGUUCCGUAGCUGGUCUGAGAGGAUGAUCAGCCCCACUGGAACUGGGACACGGUCCAGACUCCUACGGGAGGCAGCAGUGGGGAAUAUUGGACAAUGGGCGCAAGCCUGAUCCAGCCAUACCGCGUGGGUGAAGAAGGCCUUCGGGUUGUAAAGCCCUUUUGUUGGGAAAGAAAAGCAGCAGGUUAAUACCCCGCUGUUCUGACGGUACCCAAAGAAUAAGCACCGGCUAACUUCGUG